AAAGAUAUGGCAUGUCCCUUGUGGAUAUUACCAAUCAACCCAUUCUGAGUACCUUACCUGUUGCUUCCACACAGUGUCUGUGCAUUAGUACUGACAUCCUGAUGAUAGGUGAAAGCCUAUCAGAGGGAGAUGUGUGGAGGGUAUACUUAUAAACUCUUGCAUUACCAUGUAUUCUGUCUGAUAAUGUUUAAUAUAAAACUAUUA
rnacentral:misc_RNA from 1 species